AGGACAUGAGAGAGAGAAGAGAUGAAGCAGGGCAGAAUCCCAAAGGGCCUUCUCAGCUUUGCAGAGGAAUUUGGGCUUAAUGCUGAAGUUGUCUCAGCAAUGGAACCAAAGCUGUUGAUGAAAAUGUUGCAGCUCACAUUCACCGGGGGACCUGCCAAUCAAGAGAGAGCACUGCUUAGCUCCAUGGCCCUGAAGAAACCCACAGGAUCAGGCCUGUUCCUGGAACACUGACCUCAGGGAUGGACCCCCCUUGUCUUAAAGAAGAAAGAGAAUAUCAGAGCUGAAAAGGCCUUGUUCUACUGGAUCAUUUUAUAAACGCAGAAACAGAGGCCCAGCUACAUCAAGCGGUUUGUCCUGGGUCAUGUGUGCCAGGUGUUUGAGAUUGUGACCCUGGUGAAGGGCUUGAGGCCAGCGUGCUAUGACAACAACCUUGGUCCUGACUUACCUGUCCUUGAGAGGACCAAGGUUAUGCUAAUGGUGCUGGAAGAUGUGGCCUCAGGAGCAGAGUGCUGGGGGAGCAAAAGAGCCUCAAGGAAUCGGGAAGUUUUGCAUAAAUCUUGAUUCUGGCUACUCUUGGAAUGGGAGUCCUAGAGCUCCAUGAAGCAUGGUUUAAAGACCAUAGAUAUAGCCAACUCCAUCACUGAAGAGAUGAAGAAAUUGAGGCUCACAGAAAGGAAGAGGCUUAUUCAAGUUCAGAGAAACUUGACUAAGAUAAUUCCAAAAUGUAUAUGAAACAGUAAAGGGUUGACAGUAGCCAGGACAUUUCUGUAGAAGAGCACAAAGGUAACUGGGGUAGGAGCUGCAGGAGAGCCAGGCAGUGUGAACACAAGAAGAGGACAUGUGGCUCUGUACCAAGAGGCUCUGCUUCUGACAGCCAGGGGAACACUGGGCGUUAACUCAGACGCGGAGCUGCCACCGAGGAGAAAGAAGAUUGGGAGACGUGCCA